UACGGAGGGUGCAAGCGUUAUCCGGAUUCACUGGGUUUAAAGGGUGCGUAGGUGGGCUGGUAAGUCAGUGGUGAAAUCUCCAGGCUUAACUUGGAAACUGCCAUUGAUACUAUUAGUCUUGAAUACCGUGGAGGUCAGCGGAAUAUGUCAUGUAGCGGUGAAAUGCUUAGAUAUGACAUAGAACACCAAUUGCGAAGGCAGCUGGCUACACGAAUAUUGACACUGAUGCACGAAAGCGUGGGGAUCAAACAGGA
rnacentral:rRNA from 1 species